GCACAAGCGGUGGAGCAUGUGGCUUAAUUCGACGCAACGCGAAGAACCUUACCAAGGCUUGACAUAUACCGGAAAACCAUGGAGACAUGGUCCCCCUUGUGGUCGGUAUACAGGUGGUGCAUGGUUGUCGUCAGCUCGUGUCGUGAGAUGUUGGGUUAAGUCCCGCAACGAGCGCAACCCUCGUUCUGUGUUGCCAGCAUGCCUUUCGGGGUGAUGGGGACUCACGGGAGACUGCCGGGGUCAACUCGGAGGAAGGUGGGGACGACGUCAAAUCAUCAUGCCCCUUAUGUCUUGGGCUGCACACGUGCUACAAUGGCCGGUACAAUGAGCUGCGAUACCGCGAGGUGGAGCGAAUCUCAAAAAGCCGGUCUCAGUUCGGAUUGGGGUCUGCAACUCGACCCCAUGAAGUCGGAGUUGCUAGUAAUCGCAGAUCAGCAUUGCUGCGGUGAAUACGUUCCCGGGC
rnacentral:rRNA from 1 species